rnacentral:rRNA from 1 species
AUUGAACGCUGGCGGCAGGCCUAACACAUGCAAGUCGAACGAGUGGCGGACGGGUGAGUAAUGUCUGGGAAACUGCCUGCUGGAGGGGGAUAACUACUGAAAAAGGUAGCUAAUACCGCAUACCAUCAGAUGUGCCCAGAUGGGAUUAGCUAGUUGGGGGGGUAACGGCUCACCAAGGCGACGAUCCCUAGCGGGUCUGAGAGGAUGACCAGUCACACUGGAACUGAGACACGGUCCAGACGCCUACGGGAGGCAGCAGGGGGGAAUAUUGCACAAUGGGCGCAAGCCUGAUGCAGCCAUGCCGCGUGUAUGAAGAAGGCCUUCGGGUUGUAAAGUACUUGCAGCGGGGAGGCGUUACCCGCAGAAGAAGCACCGGCUAACUCCGUGCCAGCAGCCGCGGUAAUUC